CACGUAGGGCGCAAGCGUUUGUCCGGAAUUAUUGGGGCGUAAAAGAGCCUCGUGAGGCGGUCUGUUGCGUCUGCUGUGAAACUCGGGGCUUAACCCCGAGCCUGCAGUGGAUACGGGCAGACUAGAGGUAGGUAGGGGAGAAUGGAAUUCCCGGUGUAGCGGUGAAAUGCGCAGAUAUCGGGAGGAACACCGGUGGCGAAG
rnacentral:rRNA from 1 species